UCCCAAUGAUGAAACAUUCACAUGUCUUACCUACUGUUCUAGUCCCAGAAUCUGUAAAGGUUAACCUACUGGGGCUGGCUGGGGGAGAAGAAGAAAGUUUGUUCCAGAAGGAACUGUCUGAGGGAU